CGCCUGAGGAGUACGGCCGCAAGGCUAAAACUUAAAGGAAUUGACGGGGACCCGCACAAGCGGUGGAGCAUGUGGUUUAAUUCGAAGAUACGCGAAAAACCUUACCAGGUCUUGACAUACCAAUGAUCGCUUUUGUAAUGAAAGCUUUUCUUCGGAACAUUGGAUACAGGUGGUGCAUGGUCGUCGUCAGCUCGUGUCGUGAGAUGUUGGGUUAAGUCCCGCAACGAGCGCAACCCUUGUUAUUAGUUGCCAGCAUUUAGUUGGGCACUCUAAUGAGACUGCCGGUGAUAAACCGGAGGAAGGUGGGGACGACGUCAGAUCAUCAUGCCCCUUAUGACCUGGGCAACACACGUGCUACAAUGGGAAGUACAACGAGUCGCAAACCGGCGACGGUAAGCUAAUCUCUUAAAACUUCUCUCAGUUCGGACUGGAGUCUGCAACUCGACUCCACGAAGGCGGAAUCGCUAGUAAUCGCGAAUCAGCAUGUCGCGGUGAAUACGUUCCCGGGUCUUGUACACACCGCCCGUCAAAUCAUGGGAGUCGGAAGUACCCAAAGUCGCUUGGCUAACUUUUAGAGGCCGGUGCCUAAGGUAAAAUCGAUGACUGGGAUUAAGUCGUAACAAGGUAGCCGUAGGAGAACCUGCGGCUGGAUCACCUCCUUUCUAAGGA
rnacentral:rRNA from 1 species